rnacentral:rRNA from 1 species
UACGGGGGGGCAAGCGUUGUUCGGAAUUACUGGGCGUAAAGGGCUCGUAGGCGGCCAACUAAGUCGGACGUGAAAUCCCCAGGCUCAACCUGGGAACUGCGUCCGAUACUGGAUGGCUUGAAUCCGGGAGAGGGAUGCAGAAUUCCAGGUGUAGCGGUGAAAUGCGUAGAUAUCUGGAGGAAUACCGGUGGCGAAGGCGGCAUCCUGGACCGGCAUUGACGCUGAGGAGCGAAAGCCAGGGGAGCAAACGGG